AGGAUUUGAUCCCUGGACCUCACAGUUGCUACCGAGUGCGCUAACCAGCUGGGCUAGGUGGAUGUCUUGUGGAAAAAGAGACUCCUAUGCUACAUGAACAAGCACCACGCCGAACCUGAACCAAAAAUCAAACAAACAGCAAAAAUAAGCAGGGUUGUCUGGGAUUCGAACCCCAGAUCCCUCGCUUGGAACAUGACUGCGCUACCAACUCGGAUAUGCAUGGCUGAGUGUUAAAUUACUGCCCGUAUUCCACAAAUACAAAACAGGAUGCGGGCCUUCUUCCCACGAACACAGACAGACAACGACCCUGCGGAUCUGGCACCUACAGACCUGUGGAGUGCAGGACGCGGUCGGAGAUGGCGCGAGCGGAGGGGGUUCGAGGGCCGGCAGGUCCACGGCGGCGCCGGAUCGAUCGGAUCUAGGCAUGCGGUGGCCGGAUUGACUCGGCUGCGUGGAGAUGGCCGAUGGCGCCAUGCCAUCUCCUGUUAUCUAAAGAAAUGAGAAGAGAGACAGAAUAAGAGGGGUAGCAGGGCAACGUGCAUAGCAGAUAGCAGCGCAAUUUCAGGCCGGUCCUUGCAGGAUCUGGUAGAGCCAGUGGUGGGAACGAACGAACCUGGGCGAUGGGUGUCCGUUCCGGGCGGCAGACGGCAGGAUCCGACAGGGUCGGUCACGGGAGAAGCUCAUGCUCGAGGUCAUCCAUGGCUGCCUCCUGUACAUGAAUGAGAGAGCAGGGGAGCUCCAGACCGGGACGAUGGCCAUCUCCAGCGAGGCUCGGGGUCAC
rnacentral:lncRNA from 1 species